CUUUGAUGGAUAAUUUUAGUAUGUGAUGUGUGGGUAUGUUGGAUUAAGCUUUGUAGUUUAUUUUUAAAAUUUUUGUGUGUGGAGCAAAGGAAAGAUGGAGGCUUUAAAUUGUUUUUUUUUGUUUUUUGGUAUUGUAUAUCAUUGGAAGAUUAUUUUAUUGUUUAUGAUUAAUAGAAAUAAAAGGUGGAGGAAUUUUUGGUUUUGCUGUUGUAUAGUGUAAAUUACUGUUUUUUGUUUUGAUAUAACGUCUUUUGUGAUAUCUGUUAUUUUUAUUUUUCUUAGAAAAUUGUAAUUUUUUUAUUUUGUGUUUUGGGAUUUAUAUGAUUUGAAGUUUUUUUGGUUUUAGUGUUAUGACUUUUUCUUUGUUUGUUAUUUUUUGUUUUUGGUUUUAUUAAUGUUUUAAUAAUUAGAUGAUUUUUAAUUUAGUAUAUUUUUAAAUGGGUUUGAUUUUUGUAAAUUUAGAUUUAAGAACUAGGUUUAUGAUCAGAUGUUUAUUAAAGACUGAGAUAUUAAUUUAGUAUUGUCCUCUGCUCUAUGAUGUUUUAAAUGGCCGCCUUAGCGUGAGGGCAUGAAAGUAGCAAAAUAAUUUGUGCUUUUAAUGGGUUCGAGUAUGAAAGGGGGUUUGGUUGUUUUUGUUUUUGUUUUUGUUUAGAAUUAUAGGGAUGUUUAAUAAUUAAUAUUUGUGUUUUAACAAAGAUAAGUCUUUGGAAAUUCUUUUAGUUAUUAUUUUUUUUUGUAUGAUAGUCAUGUUGCUUAGGGCAGGAUUUUUUAUAAAGUAGUUUACUAUGUUUAUGGUAAUGAGUUACUCCGGAGUUAACAGAAAGUUACAUUUUUUCUAGAUGUUAUAGAUAAAAGGGUUUUACAUCGAUGUUGUAUUCUAACUGGCUAAAGGAGUA
rnacentral:rRNA from 1 species